rnacentral:rRNA from 1 species
UGGGGGGAACCCUGAUCCAGCCAUGCCGCGUGUGUGAAGAAGGCCUUUUGGUUGUAAAGCACUUUAAGCGAGGAGGAGGAGCUCUAGAUUAAUACUCUAGAUGCUUGGACGUUACUCGCAGAAUAAGCACCGGCUAACUCUGUGCCAGCAGCCGCGGUAAUACAGAGGGUGCAAGCGUUAAUCGGAUUUACUGGGCGUAAAGCGUGCGUAGGUGGUCUUUUAAGUCGGAUGUGAAAUCCCUGAGCUUAACUUAGGAAUUGCAUUCGAUACUGGGAGACUAGAGUAUGGGAGAGGAUGGUAGAAUUCCAGGUGUAGCGGUGAAAUGCGUAGAGAUCUGGAGGAAUACCGAUGGCGAAGGCAGCCAUCUGGCCUAAUACUGACACUGAGGUACGAAAGCAUGGGGAGCAAACAGGAUUAGAUACCCUGGUAGUCCAUGCCGUAAACGAUGUCUACUAGCCGUUGGGGUCUUUGAGACUUUAGUGGCGCAGCUAACGCGAUAAGUAGACCGCCUGGGGA